rnacentral:rRNA from 1 species
AGAGUUUGAUCCUGGCUCAGGAUGAACGCUAGCUACAGGCUUAACACAUGCAAGUCGAGGGGAAACGACAUCGAAAGCUUGCUUUUGAUGGGCGUCGACCGGCGCACGGGUGAGUAACGCGUAUCCAACCUGCCCACCACUUGGGGAUAACCUUGCGAAAGUAAGACUAAUACCCAAUGAUAUCUCUAGAAGACAUCUGAAAGAGAUUAAAGAUUUAUCGGUGAUGGAUGGGGAUGCGUCUGAUUAGCUUGUUGGCGGGGUAACGGCCCACCAAGGCAACGAUCAGUAGGGGUUCUGAGAGGAAGGUCCCCCACAUUGGAACUGAGACACGGUCCAAACUCCUACGGGAGGCAGCAGUGAGGAAUAUUGGUCAAUGGACGAGAGUCUGAACCAGCCAAGUAGCGUGCAGGAAGACGGCCCUAUGGGUUGUAAACUGCUUUUAUAAGGGAAUAAAGUGAGUCUCGUGAGACUUUUUGCAUGUACCUUAUGAAUAAGGACCGGCUAAUUCCGUGCCAGCAGCCGCGGUAAUACGGAAGGUCCGGGCGUUAUCCGGAUUUAUUGGGUUUAAAGGGAGCGUAGGCCGGAGAUUAAGCGUGUUGUGAAAUGUAGACGCUCAACGUCUGCACUGCAGCGCGAACUGGUUUCCUUGAGUACGCACAAAGUGGGCGGAAUUCGUGGUGUAGCGGUGAAAUGCUUAGAUAUCACGAAGAACUCCGAUUGCGAAGGCAGCUCACUGGAGCGCAACUGACGCUGAAGCUCGAAAGUGCGGGUAUCGAACAGGAUUAGAUACCCUGGUAGUCCGCACGGUAAACGAUGGAUGCCCGCUGUUGGUCUGAAUAGGUCAGCGGCCAAGCGAAAGCAUUAAGCAUCCCACCUGGGGAGUACGCCGGCAACGGUGAAACUCAAAGGAAUUGACGGGGGCCCGCACAAGCGGAGGAACAUGUGGUUUAA